ensembl:lncRNA
CUUGAAAACAUUUAAAAAAAUAUUAAAGUCCCCAAACUUUUAAACAUGAGUGUAUCUUAGGAUCUAUUCCAAAUCCUACUGAGCUGAUCAUGUUGAGGCAUAAUUUGUGUGCUACAGACGCAUAAUUAUGCUGCCUUAUAACUUAUGUAACAUUCUUUUAGCCACAUUUUAAGACAGCACUGCAUGGUUCCUUUGUGGUGAAGGCAAUCCCAAGGAUUUCCAUAAGCUCAGUAAGAUAAAAAAAAAAAAAAAAAUGUAUCCAAGAUGAGAGACAAAGCACAAAGCAAUUCAAGCGUUGAUUCUAAAUAUCAUUUAAUCCAAUAAAAAUGCCCUGUGUGUUAUUUACAGUGUUGCUGACAAUUAAGCGCAUUCUAAAUCAGUCACUUAUGAGCUUCCAUUUCAGUCAGGAAUCUGCUUUAGAAGGCGACUGCCAGUGUAUACAGGCAUUAGACACCAAGGCAGCUCACUAGGUUUUGGGACAGAGUCCGAGUGUUUAGACGGCCGACUCUGAGAAAGCUCGUUCUGUGAAUGGGGAAUCUGCGCCGGCCGAAUCCAGCUCUCCCUCUCCUCCAGUACAGCUGCUCCAGACUCACGUGUUGCUAUUCCUAGCCGCACCCAGGAGCUAUAAAUAGCUGUCUUUCUUUGCAGACCGCUGGAACACGUGCCGUCAGCCUUCGAGGCAAGAGGAGCCAAUCAGUGGAGAAACUGGAACCAUGUGAUUUUAUUGUUUUUAGAUGGAAGUUAUGGUCAUAUCUGUGUUUGUGGAGAUAAAAUGACUGUCCUUCACAGAAGAGCUCUAUUGAAGAAUGUUAUGUUUGCCUUUGAAUAGAUGGAUAAGUCAAAGAAUACAACAAAAGCGGAAGACGUUUUAUCAGAUAUACAGGAGCCACAAUUUUCUUCAGUCUUGAUGAUGCUUUGUUAAUGGUUACUGACUGCAGUGAUGUCAUCCGAAGAGAAAUCCUCUUCAGCUUAACUUGAUGCGCACAUGCAACGGAUCUCAGUGAAGAUGUGUUGCUCGGCAACCGUACGCAGAAGUGAGGAGUGGGAGUGGACUCUGACUGAGCCGAAUGACGCAAAACAGCAUUUAUCACCAGCACACGUUCAAUAUUUCUGCUAACCUAUUCAGGGCCUUUAAAGAAAUAAACAUAUUUAUUGCUGCACAAAGAAUACGCCCUAUAUGAAUAAAAUAACACAUGUGAGUGUCGCCAUAGCAACUUUUGGAAACUUAAUCACAUCUGUGAUGAUCUGUAAUAUCCUAAGUAAAAACUGAACCAGAGCAGAGUGGGGAGUUAUUGUGCUUAGAUUGUAAAUCAUCAAGUCCAAGCUUGUUGGAAACUCUGUGUUGUGAAAUCUGGCAUACAGAAGUAAUUUACUCAGUGUUCAG